rnacentral:rRNA from 1 species
GGGUUGUGAGGUUAAGCGACUAAGCGUACACGGUGGAUGCCCUGGCAGUCAGAGGCGAUGAAGGGCGUACUAAUCUGCGAUAAGCGCCGGUAAGGUGAUAUGAACCGUUAUAACCGGCGAUACCCGAAUGGGGAAACCCAGUGUGAUUCGUCACACUAUCAUUAACUGAAUCCAUAGGUUAAUGAGGCGAACCGGGGGAACUGAAACAUCUAAGUACCCCGAGGAAAAGAAAUCAACCGAGAUUCCCCCAGUAGCGGCGAGCGAACGGGGAGGAGCCCAGAGCCUGAAUCAGCAUGUGUGUUAGUGGAAGCGUCUGGAAAGGCGCGCGAUACAGGGUGACAGCCCCGUACACAAAAGCGCAUGUGCUGUGAGCUCGAUGAGUAGGGCGGGACACGUGGUAUCCUGUCUGAAUAUGGGGGGACCAUCCUCCAAGGCUAAAUACUCCUGACUGACCGAUAGUGAACCAGUACCGUGAGGGAAAGGCGAAAAGAACCCCGGCGAGGGGAGUGAAAAAGAACCUGAAACCGUGUACGUACAAGCAGUGGGAGCCCCACCACCAAAGCAUUUGCUGUACCGCGUUGACGGAGCGAAGCGACGUCAAACCGAUAAAACAGCAGUGUAAAGUGAGCCGCAGGGCGCUUUGCGCGACAGCGCAAAGGCAGGCGGUUUCGCGUAGCGAAAGCGAAUGCUUUGGGGUGGGGUGACUGCGUACCUUUUGUAUAAUGGGUCAGCGACUUAUAUUCUGUAGCAAGGUUAACCGAAUAGGGGAGCCGGAGGGAAACCGAGUCUUAAUUGGGCGUUAAGUUGCAGGGUAUAGACCCGAAACCCGGUGAUCUAGCCAUGGGCAGGUUGAAGGUUGGGUAACACUAACUGGAGGACCGAACCGACUAAUGUUGAAAAAUUAGCGGAUGACCUGUGGCUGGGGGUGAAAGGCCAAUCAAACCGGGAGAUAGCUGGUUCUCCCCGAAAGCUAUUUAGGUAGCGCCUCGUGAAUUCAUCUCCGGGGGUAGAGCACUGUUUCGGCUAGGGGGCCAUCCCGGCUUACCAACCCGAUGCAAACUGCGAAUACCGGAGAAUGUUAUCACGGGAGACACACGGCGGGUGCUAACGUCCGUCGUGAAGAGGGAAACAACCCAGACCGCCAGCUAAGGUCCCAAAGUCAUGGUUAAGUGGGAAACGAUGUGGGAAGGCCCAGACAGCCAGGAUGUUGGCUUAGAAGCAGCCAUCAUUUAAAGAAAGCGUAAUAGCUCACUGGUCGAGUCGGCCUGCGCGGAAGAUGUAACGGGGCUAAACCAUG